AGCGAACGCUGGCGGCAGGCCUAACACAUGCAAGUCGAGCGCCGUAGCAAUACGGAGCGGCAGACGGGAGAGUAACACGUGGGAACGUACCCUUUGGUUCGGAACAACCCAGGGAAACUUGGGCUAAUACCGGAUAAGCCCUCACGGGGAAAGAUUCAUCGCCGAAGGAUCGGCCCGCGUCUGAUUAGCUAGUUGGUGGGGUAAUGGCCCACCAAGGCGACGAAUCAGUAGCUGGUCUGAGAGGAUGAUCAGCCUCACUGGGACUGAGACACGGCCCAGACCCCUACGGGAGGCAGCAGUGGGGAAUAUGGGAAAAGGGGCGAAAGCCUGAUCCAGCCAUGCCGGGUGGGUGAUGAAGGCCCCAGGGUUGUAAAGCCCUUUCGGCGGGAAAGAAAAUGACGGUACCCGCAGAAGAAGCCCCGGCUACCUUCGUGCCAGCCGCCGCCGUAA
rnacentral:rRNA from 1 species